rnacentral:lncRNA from 1 species
CACUGAACAAGAAUACAUACAACACUUGAGUAUUUUUUAGAGUGAUUAUGCUAGAUAUCCGAAAGCACUUGUCUAUGUGAAGCAGACAUGGCUUGAUAAGUAUAAAGAAAAAUUUAUUGCAGCAUGGACAGACUUUAUUAUGCAUUUCGGAAAUAUGACAACCAACAGGUAACCAAUAUUUAGUUUUCAAUGAUUUUAUAACUAAACUCAUCACCAUUUUUUUAUAUAUCUUUUUUUUUUGUUGGUUUAUUUUUAGGGCUGAGACUGCACAUUCAAAAUUAAAAAGGCAACUAUGUUCAUACCAAGGAAACUUUGUAACAUUAUGGACAAAACUUCAUUCUUUGGUAGAGUUGCAACAUACAGAAAUUAAGGCAUCAUUUGAGAAGAGUUUGACUACUGUGCAACAUAGUUUCACACCUUCAGUUUUUAAAGAAUUAAGGGGAUUAGUUGCUAGAAAUGCAUUAGAUAUGAUACUAAGUGAGUCAAAAAGAGCUGAUUUAAUUGGUAUAGAUAUUUCAGCAUGUGGUUGUGUAGUUCGACACACUCAUGGGCUACCGUGUGCACAUGAAAUUACAGAGUAUAAGCGUGAAGGUCGACCAAUACCUUUAGAUUCUGUACAUUUGCAUUGGAGGAAAUUAGACCUUGUCUGCACCAGCUAUGAAAAAUCAGCAGAGUUGAGUUGUACCCCUGAAAUGGAAAUGGUUAUCAAGCGUUUUGAAGAUUCAGAUGGUUUCGGAAAAAUGCAAAUAAAAAGAAAACUGAAAGAAUUAGCUGAUCCAUCCUCAACUUUUUUAAUUGAGCCAACUGUUAAAGCUAAGACUCGAGGACGACCCUCCCAAAAGCUUGAUAAAUCUACCCGCCGAGAUCCAUCAAGAUUUGAGUAUGUAGUAUCCGCACAGGAUAAUCAUUCUCCAGACAUUAUGUCUUCAAGUACAACUACAAAAAAACCAAAAGGGCAACGAAAAAUGAGUGUUUCUCAAACAAAAGCACCAAAGCAUGCUUCUUAUAUUGAUUCAUUUCCAUUUGGUUUGAGGCAUUAUAUUUGUGGUGUUAGAGAUGUUGCUGCAGAUGGUAAUUGUGGUUUUCGGGCAGUGGCUGACCUAAUAGGUAUUGGUGAAGAUAACUGGGCACAAGUCAGGAAAGACUUAGUUGUUGAGUUGCAAAGUCACAUUAAUGAUUAUAAAAGAGUCUUUGAAUAUGCUGGUAGAGCAGAGGAGGUACUUCAUUCACUUUUAUACUUUGAGAAUAACCCAGGGAGAGAGUAUUGGAUGACCAUGCCUGAAAUUGGUCAUAUUAUUGCUUCUAAAUAUAAUGUGGUAUUACUACAUAUAUCAGAUGUGCUGAAUCUAACAUUCCUUCCACUUAGAUCUAUUCCAUUAUCACGCUCCUCGCAUAAAAUCAUUGCUAUUGGAUUUGUUAAUAGAAAUCAUUUCAUAGAGGUAUGUAAAAGUUUAGAAAUUCAAAUUAUGCUGCAAUAUCUUAAUUAUUGGACUAAUUUUUCUAUGGCUUUUUUUUUUUUUACAGGUGUUCAUGCUUCCAGCUUCACCUAUUCCUCCUAUUGCGAAUAGUUGGAUCAAAUAUCAUGAACCAUGUGCAGAAGGCUGGGCAACACCAUACAAAACUAAUAUACUUGCUUUCAAGGAUUUGGUGUUUGAAGUUACCACACAAGAAACAAUUGAUCUAGCUAGUCAAUGAGAGUAUCAGAAAAUUUUGAACCAUUUAAUAGUCAUUUUAUUCGUUUCAUAUUUUUAAAGAAAGACUUUGUAAAAGCUGGAAUUCUUUAUUUUAUUGUUGCUCAAGAUGACAACCUGUCUCUACUCUUUUUGUUGUUAUUAUUAUUUUUUUAACAUUUUCAAGUUUACUCCAACUGCAAACUAAUUUAUGAAUUAUGAUCUACAUACUAUAAAUUUAAGUAAUGCUAUAAUUGACUGUAAAUAUUAAAAUAUUAGCAGAAAAAUAAAAAAUAACUUGAAAGAGACAAAAUGAAUAGUACCUGAAAUUGAAAUUCAGCAUUUUAAAAAUUAAGAAAGUUACCUUUUCAUCUUAUUUUCUGGUAAGAAAUUAUCGGCAUAUGCAACUCAUCAUAAAAAAGCUUCAGGAAGAAACCGAGACCCAUGAGAGAAAUUAAGAAAGAAGAAAGUAAUUAUGAAGCAAAGGACGAGCUGAACGAUCAUCAGAAUUAUUUUCCCACCGACAUGUUUUCCAGUGCCCCAGUUGUCUUUCUCCACAAAGGUUCGCAGUCUUUCGAAGAAUUC